rnacentral:rRNA from 1 species
AGAGUUUGAUCCUGGCUCAGGAUGAACGCUAGCUACAGGCUUAACACAUGCAAGUCGAGGGGCAGCAUGGUCUUAGCUUGCUAAGGCCGAUGGCGACCGGCGCACGGGUGAGUAACACGUAUCCAACCUGCCGUCUACUCUUGGACAGCCUUCUGAAAGGAAGAUUAAUACAAGAUGGCAUCAUGAGUCCGCAUGUUCACAUGAUUAAAGGUAUUCCGGUAGACGAUGGGGAUGCGUUCCAUUAGAUAGUAGGCGGGGUAACGGCCCACCUAGUCUUCGAUGGAUAGGGGUUCUGAGAGGAAGGUCCCCCACAUUGGAACUGAGACACGGUCCAAACUCCUACGGGAGGCAGCAGUGAGGAAUAUUGGUCAAUGGGCGAGAGCCUGAACCAGCCAAGUAGCGUGAAGGAUGACUGCCCUAUGGGUUGUAAACUUCUUUUAUAAAGGAAUAAAGUCGGGUAUGCAUACCCGUUUGCAUGUACUUUAUGAAUAAGGAUCGGCUAACUCCGUGCCAGCAGCCGCGGUAAUACGGAGGAUCCGAGCGUUAUCCGGAUUUAUUGGGUUUAAAGGGAGCGUAGAUGGAUGUUUAAGUCAGUUGUGAAAGUUUGCGGCUCAACCGUAAAAUUGCAGUUGAUACUGGAUAUCUUGAGUGCAGUUGAGGCAGGCGGAAUUCGUGGUGUAGCGGUGAAAUGCUUAGAUAUCACGAAGAACUCCGAUUGCGAAGGCAGCCUGCUAAGCUGCAACUGACAUUGAGGCUCGAAAGUGUGGGUAUCAAACAGGAUUAGAUACCCUGGUAGUCCACACAGUAAACGAUGAAUACUCGCUGUUUGCGAUAUACAGUAAGCGGCCAAGCGAAAGCGUUAAGUAUUCCACCUGGGGAGUACGCCGGCAACGGUGAAACUCAAAGGAAUUGACGGGGGCCCGCACAAGCGGAGGAACAUGUGGUUUAAUUCGAUGAUACGCGAGGAACCUUACCCGGGCUUAAAUUGCAGAUGAAUUACGGUGAAAGCCGUAAGCCGCAAGGCAUCUGUGAAGGUGCUGCAUGGUUGUCGUCAGCUCGUGCCGUGAGGUGUCGGCUUAAGUGCCAUAACGAGCGCAACCCUUGUUGUCAGUUACUAACAGGUUCUGCUGAGGACUCUGACAAGACUGCCAUCGUAAGAUGUGAGGAAGGUGGGGAUGACGUCAAAUCAGCACGGCCCUUACGUCCGGGGCUACACACGUGUUACAAUGGGGGGUACAGAGGGCCGCUACCACGCGAGUGGAUGCCAAUCCCAAAAACCUCUCUCAGUUCGGACUGGAGUCUGCAACCCGACUCCACGAAGCUGGAUUCGCUAGUAAUCGCGCAUCAGCCACGGCGCGGUGAAUACGUUCCCGGGCCUUGUACACACCGCCCGUCAAGCCAUGGGAGCCGGGGGUACCUGAAGUGCGUAACCGCGAGGAGCGCCCUAGGGUAAAACUGGUGACUGGGGCUAAGUCGUAACAAGGUAGCCGUACCGGAAGGUGCGGCUG